GAUGAACGCUGGCGGCGUGCCUAAUACAUGCAAGUCGAGCGAACAGACGAGGAGCUUGCUCCUCUGACGUUAGCGGCGGACGGGUGAGUAACACGUGGAUAACCUACCUAUAAGACUGGGAUAACUUCGGGAAACCGGAGCUAAUACCGGAUAAUAUAUUGAACCGCAUGGUUCAAUAGUGAAAGACGGUUUUGCUGUCACUUAUAGAUGGAUCCGCGCCGCAUUAGCUAGUUGGUAAGGUAACGGCUUACCAAGGCAACGAUGCGUAGCCGACCUGAGAGGGUGAUCGGCCAAACUGGAACUGAGACACGGUCCAGACUCCUACGGGAGGCAGCAGUAGGGAAUCUUCCGCAAUGGGCGAAAGCUUGACGGAGCAACGCCGCGUGAGGGAUGAAGGUCUUCAGAUCGUAAAACUCUGUUAUUAGGGAAGAACAAAUGUGUAAGUAACUAUGCACGUCUUGACGGUACCUAAUCAGAAAGCCACGGCUAACUACGUG
rnacentral:rRNA from 1 species